AAACUUUAGAGUAUAUGUAACGGACGAGAGUGCUCUUUAUCAUGCCAUCAUAACCAGACGAAUAAUAGUUUGGUGAGUACUAUAAAACAGAGGGACCAUACAUAUUGUCCUCUCAAGUCACAUGGAGGAAUCUUCAGAAUCUCCGCUCGUCCUCGUUCACCGCCCACCUACUCUAGCUUACAUGGACGACCACCUCAGCCGCAACUUCCGUCUUCUCAACGCUCACCUUUCACCGGAUCCACUACCCCUCUUCCUCUCCCGCCACGCCGCCUCCGUCACAGCCUUCGUCAACAUCGGCAGGCUCAAGAUAGACGCCGAGCUCCUCUCCCACCUCCCUUCCCUCCAGCUUCUCGUCUGCACCAGCGUCGGCACCGAUCACGUCGACCUCGCCGAAUGCAAGCGCCGCGGCAUCGCCGUCACCAACGCUGGCGACGCCUUCUCCGAUGACGUGGCGGAUUGCGCCGUCGGGUUGCUGUUGAGCGUCCUCCGUCGUAUUCCGGCCGGUGAUCGUUACGUCCGGUCUGGUAACUGGUCGAAACCGGGGCAGUUCCAGCUAGGCAUCAAGGUAAGUGGAAAGCGAGUUGGGAUAAUUGGAUUAGGGAGCAUCGGGUCCCGUAUCGCCAAAAGACUCGAACCCUUUGGAUGCAUCAUCUCUUACAACUCGAGAACUCAGAAACAGAGCAUUCCAUACCGUUACUACUCCGACGUUCUCUCCUUGGCAGCAGACAACGACGUCCUCGUGCUCUGCUGCUCUCUGACGGAUCAAACGAGGCACGUUGUGAACAGAGAAGUGAUGGAGUCGCUUGGGAAGGAAGGGGUUAUCAUUAAUGUGGGAAGGGGAGGGCUGAUUGAUGAGGAGGAGAUGGUGAAGUGUCUGGUGGAAGGUGUGAUUGGUGGUGCCGGUUUAGAUGUGUUUGAGAAAGAACCGCAAGUUCCUGAGGAGUUGUUUGGUAUGGACAAUGUUGUAUUGUCUCCGCAUGCUGCUGUGGCCACGCCUGGGGCUUUGGAAAGUGUUGCCGAGGUUGCGAUAGCUAACUUGAAGGCGUUUUUCUCGAACCAGCCUUUGGUUUCCCCGGUUCGAUUGGGUUGAGAGAUCGUCCGGUUUGAUCAAAGAAGGCUAAUGAUCAAUCUAUCAUUAGUUGUUGAACGAUAUGAUUAAGAAAACGAAAGUGUAUUUAUAUAAUAUUAAUCAGUGAAUCCCCUAUAUAUAUUAUGGGAAUAGUCAAGAAAGAAAAUUAAAACUAAGAUGCUAAUGUGUAAUUAUGGGAGUGAUCUGUCAAGAAAUUAAACUUCUUCUCAA